AGAAGAGGAGUCACCCAGUUACUGUU
rnacentral:piRNA from 1 species